rnacentral:misc_RNA from 1 species
GAAAUGCGAUAAGUAAUGUGAAUUGCAGAAUUCAGUGAAUCAUCGAAUCUUUGAACGCACAUUGCGCCCCUCGGUAUUCCAUGGGGCAUGCCUGUUCGAGCGUCAUUUGUACCCUCAAGCUCUGCUUGGUGUUGGGUGUUUGUCCCGUCUCCGCGCGUGGACUCGCCCCAAAGUGAUUGGCAGCCGGCGUACUGGUCCCGGAGCGCAGCACAUGUCGCGCAAACGAGUGCCUUGGUACGGCGGCGUCCAUAAGCCCCUCUCUCACGCUCUUGACCUCGGAUCAGGUAGGGAUACCCGCUGAACUUAAGC